CAUCAUCUCUCUCUCUUUUUUUUUUAUAUAAAAAUCGUUUCUCUCUCUCUAUCUUUUAUCUAUAUUAAAGCUACUUUUAAUUCUUUUCUCUUUAAUCAAAACCGCAUGUUGCUCUCUCUCUUUCUCACAAAAAUUCUCACGCUGCAUCUCCUUCUCUCUCAAUAUUUUUCAGACAGCAUCUAUCUUUAUUAAAAGCAUCACACUCUUAAAAGCAUAACACUCCUCUCUUUUAAUAAACAAAACCGAGGCUUCACAUCAUCUCUCUCUUUUUAUUCAAUCACCACAUGCACACACACAUUGAAGUAUCUCUCUCUCUCUCUCUCACAAUAUCAAGACCGAACGUUGCUCACAUCUCUCUCUCUCGCUCAAUCCAGCCAUCUCCUCCCUCGAACUUCCGCCGCCGCGGCUCUUCUCUUCAACGGCGAGGAGCGUCGCUUUCUGUUGCUCCGGCGACUCACAGCGAGGUCGCCGCGUGGAGCUGCUGCCGCUGACUACUGCUGUUCAGCUCUGGGCCGCGACCAGCGGCGCUUGGCCUUCGGCCGCGCCGCCCCGCUCAGCCGCCUGGAACUGCUGCUGCUCGCCCGGAGUCGCGGCUGUUGCUGCUGUUCACCGAGGAGUCCGUCGACUGUUGCUGUUCGUCGAGGAGUCCGCCGCCGUCUGGAGUUGCCGCCACCGUCGCCAACUGGAGCCUUGGCAGCCGCUGCUGUCGUUCUCGGGCUCCGAUGAGGCCGUAGGAAGUUACCGUUGUUGCGGCUCGACUGCGCAGGGCCGCGUUCGAUGUCUUUCUAAAACUAAAGAAUGAUGAAAACGUUUAAGUGUGGAAUGGGUAUGAGGAUGUUAUAUGCUUUCAAUCUGUGAAGGUGUUCGGUGUGAAUAUGCACACAUUUUUGUCAAAAAUGUGCAGAAUGGAGUCAAAAAGAAUACAGACAGGCGUGGAGAGUUGGAGUCAAAAGAUGCACAGUGUAGGCGUGGAGUUGGAGAGCGUGUUGUGCAUUUAUUUCCUUCACUUAUCUUAUCUUAGACAUAUGUAUAAAUAAUUGAGGGUAACUGAUUUGAUCUGUGCGUAUCUAUGUUUAUUUGUAUUCAGACUCUCUUCUCGGUCUCAUUCAAAAGUACUCUAUGAAACUA